rnacentral:rRNA from 1 species
CCCGCCCGAUGGAACGACCCGCGAACUCGUUAACAAACCAUCGCGGGGGGGCGAGGACGCAUCCGUGCCCCGAGCCCCCUCCRUGCCCCUGCGCGCGUGACCCCGCCUCGCCUCGCCCCCCGGGCGGGCGAKGGGCUCGGUCUCGUCGCUCGUGGCAAGAACAACGAACCCCCGGCGCGAGUCGCGCCAAGGAAUCGGAAGGAUAAAGAGCGCGUCCGACGCCGCCGACCCGUUCCCGGUGUUCGCGCGGGCGGAGACGCCGCUUCUUUUGUCGCGAAAACGCUAAACGACUCUCGGCAACGGAUAUCUCGGCUCUCGCAUCGAUGAAGAACGUAGCGAAAUGCGAUACUUGGUGUGAAUUGCAGAAUCCCGUGAACCAUCGAGUCUUUGAACGCAAGUUGCGCCCCAAGCCAUUAGGCCGAGGGCACGUCUGCCUGGGUGUCACGCAUCGUCGCCCCCUCCGACGUUAUUUCGGACGUUGCGGGGGCGGAAAAUGGCCUCCCGUGCGCUCCUCGCUCGCGGUUGGCCCAAAAAUCGAGUCCUCGGCGACGAAGGCGCCGCGACGAUCGGUGGUACGCUCCGAGCGUUCCUCGUACCCCGUCGCUCGUGCUUCCGUUCGCGAAAGGACCCCUCGAGACCCUUUUCGCGUCGCGACCCCA